CCUGAGCCGAAGUCAGAUGCUUAACCGACAAGCCACCCAGGCGCCCCUAAUGGUGAUUUUAAAUAAAAGUUACCAAAGAGACAGCCUGUGCAAGUGAGACACCC